UGAAAACCAACCAAUGACUGAUAUCUAGCCUCCGAUGAUGUUAGGAUAAUCUUACUAAAUACCAAUUACAUGUUGUCAGUGAAUGGAAGAACCGGUAAUGUCGUAUAAAGAAAAAGGACCUGUGUGGCACAACAGGUGACAAGAGGAACCCUUUUUUAAGCAGGAUAUUGAAUUGAGUUGGAUACCAACCAUAUUAUGAGAUGACUCAGAUGUUAGUCCUUGUUCAGAUGAAGCACUAAUCAUAAGUUAAAGCUAUUUACCUCCAUCAAGUGAAGCUGAGAGAGUGCAAUAACACCAGCUAUCUGGAACCAGCCAAUGUAGAAAACCAUCUUUAACCAAACCUAGCAAUAUAGACGCCACUUAUUAGACAUAUAACAGACUUACAUAACCCAUAUAGCACAGUUACAGUACGUACCCAUGAUAUAUAACCCCUGUAUAUAUGGGUCACAUACUACUACCAUACUGGCAUACAUGAUUCUUAUAAUGGCUGAUGAUGCAAUGCUGAGCAAUGCUGCUCAUUCAACAUAAAUGUGGAUAGCUUCAAUUCAGGUCAAAACAAAAGGUCAAGUUCUACAUUUCUUCUAUAAAGUCGCCUUUGGCUCACGCUUCCUUUGCACUUCUUUUUUGCUUACAUCACUUCCUGCAUGCUUUAUUACUGAAUGGAACAUGGAAAAAAGCUCAUUUCUUUGUAAAAUACAUGUUUUUGGUAUUAAGUACAUACCCAUGAUUUAUCAAAUAACAUGGCCAGUAGGGUAAAUUGAAAGAAUGCAUCUGCACUGGAUAUUUUCCACAGCCACAUCACAAGCCAAGUACUCCUGUAGUUAAGAACCUCUGCUUGUAAUUCCUAAUGAAAAACAUAAUAAAGACCACAUAGAUUAUUUUUCUCUUAUAAAACAGCAUACAUAUCCUAAGGAUCAGUCAUAUGUGCAGUGUAUGUUUUUUUGUAUAUAUAAAGAUGUCAAAGCUCAGUUCUAUUCCAUUCAAAUCAUCAUCCCUCUCUGUUAUGGUGAAAUGUUGUGAAAUUGAACUUAACGCCAUAAGACAAGAAUCAAAGAAUACUUUUUAGCACAACCCACAUGUCUUCUCCAAAGACUUUAAGAAUUAUUACACUCUUAUUUCAAAAAAGAUACUUGGAGCCAAAGGAGAUAAGCAAUAGGACGUUCCAAGACAAAAAUUGAUCUACAAAUGACAUUGGAUAUCUCAACACUGAGCUCCAAGUUCUUGAUGAUUGAGAAUAAGCAGCAGAAGUCAUAUUUCCAGCUAUUCUUGGACCUUGGAAUGAUCUGUCUCCUAUAAUUGCUAUAUAAUUGCCUUUGGCUUUGUUUGAGAAAACAGAUGUUUUUCUUCAUAUCCGUUGAGUCUAAUUUCUAUGAUGAAAGAAAUAAACUUGAAAUUCUUUUAGAUACACCAAAAACUUGUAAGACUGAAUAUCCAGCCUUAAACCUCUAGCCUGCGACAGCAAUUAAUUGCUUAAUGGGAAAGAAAUCUACAACAAAGUAAGUUUGUACAUAUACGUCCUGAAAGACCUACCAACCAUCAGAACACUUGAUGAGUAAAUGAAGGAUAAAAUAAGGAUAUAUAAAACUUUUUAAUACCAACCUUUGGAUAAUGUGGAUUAGGAAGCUCAAGUAAUUCAUGGUAUGAACGAACAAAGUGGUCCCAAAAACCGCUUCUUCCAAUCACUUGAAUAACAGCCAUCAGUACCGUAAUGGUAAUGGUACGGCGAUCUACAUGCACAAAGGAAUAGGUCGUCUUUUCUGGUUUAGUGGGAUAGUGUUCGGAUAAUAGCCCUACUCCUGCUUCUACAUCUUUUCGUAUGCGGACUUUUUUCAAGGGAGGAAAACGAUGUAAAAACACGCCUAAUGAGAAAGCCAUUAAUARUCCUCCACCAAAAUCCAUGGCUGCAUCGACUAAAUACCCUGACGAACCCCAGCCUGAAACGAAAGUCUUCUUGUGAGCCUGUGCUCUAUACACAACACCAUCAAGUAGAUCUAGUUGGUUUCUGAACUCGUAUAUAACACAGCCGAUUCGACGGAAAGCAAGAUGCUCGGAGAUGGCAAAUUUACAGGAGAUAACAGCGCAGAAAAAGUGGAAGGCGCUGAUAACAUUUGGAGUUAUGCCAGGAAUAGACGAAAUACCAAGUUUUUCUUCUGAUAAUUCCAUGAGUGGCAAGUUUAUAUAGUGGUCAAUAUGUUCUGUCAUACGAAGUUUCACACUUUUGACGGGAAACAUCAUCUUUGAAGCAACUGUUGAGUUGUAGUUGGAUCCAUAAACUGCUAACUCGUCGAAGAAACUUAAAUCCAUCCAUAACAGGUAUGUCAACAGUACAAAGAUAAAGUAAAACCCAAAGCUUUCUUCACACCCUGCCAUGCUUCACUAGAGCAUUCAAGAUCCAACGUAGUGCGAAGAAAUGCAGAGGGUUUUAAGAGACUAUUUCUUUUUCACCGGCUUGUCGUCCUUCGUAAACACUUCCACUUGGCUUCUCGUUGGACGACGAUCAUACGAUGCUAGUCACUAGUACCCAGGGUUAGCAAAUAAUAGUGCAUGCUCACAUAUCAAGUAGACUGGUAUACCAAGGGAGGGGGGUACCUGCUUACCCAAGUCCGGCUGACCUCAACCCUUUUUCUUGCACCUGGCACCUGGCUAAACCCUAUAGACUGAAAUCAUUUUUUCAGAAAAACCUAAUAUCUAAUGUUUAUGUUCCGUCAGGGAACUAAUUAGUCGGACAAGCUUGUUAAUAACACUGAAAAGAUAGACAACUUCAAAUCAUAGUUAAUAGAUAUUAACUAUGUUCAAAUGUAGGGGCUGUAGUCAUAGUACUAGGAGCUAUCUGUCGGUAUUUUAACAUUUUAAAAUAGGUUAUACUAAAUUAUCAUUACACGUGUGAGUAAUUAGUACUAGAUUCAGCUAGGCUUAAAGGCUUUUAUGACAUGCAGACGACCAAUUACAACUCAAAUCACCACUGACUUUUUCAAAUAAAACUCAUAUGAAUGUUUGUAA